AUUGAACGCUGGCGGCAUGCCUUACACAUGCAAGUCGAACGGCAGCACGGGAUCAAUCCUGGUGGCGAGUGGCGAACGGGUGAGUAAAGUAUCGGAACGUGCCCAGUCGUGGGGGAUAACGUAGCGAAAGUUACGCUAAUACCGCAUACGAUCUAUGGAUGAAAGCGGGGGAUCGCAAGACCUCGCGCGAUUGGAGCGGCCGAUAUCAGAUUAGGUAGUUGGUGGGGUAAAGGCUCACCAAGCCGACGAUCUGUAGCUGGUCUGAGAGGACGACCAGCCACACUGGGACUGAGACACGGCCCAGACUCCUACGGGAGGCAGCAGUGGGGAAUUUUGGACAAUGGGCGAAAGCCUGAUCCAGCCAUGCCGCGUGCAGGAUGGAGGCCUUCGGGUUGUAAACUGCUUUUGUACGGAACGAAAAGGUUUGGCCUAAUAAGCUGGGCUCAUGACGGUACCGUAAGAAUAAGCACCGGCUAACUACGUGCCAGCCGCCGCAGUAA
rnacentral:rRNA from 1 species